CAGAGGGUGCAAACGUUGCUCGGAAUUAUUGGGCGUAAAGCGCGUAUAGGCGGCUCGUUAAGUCGGUUGUGAAAACCCAUGGCUCAACCAUGGAAGUGCGUCCGAAACUGGCGAGCUAGAGUCUUGACGAGGAUGGCGGAGUUCCCAGUGUAGAGGUGAAAUUCGUAGAUAUUGGGAGGAACACCGGUGGCGAAGGCGGCCAUCUGGGAAGGUACUGACGCUGAGACGCGAAAGCGUGGGGAGCGAACAGGAUUAGAUACCCUGGUAGUCCACGCCGUAAACGAUGAGCACUAGGUGUUGCGGGUAUUGACCCCUGCAGUGCCGACGCUAACGCAUUAAGUGCUCCGCCUGGGGAGUACGGCCGCAAAACUA
rnacentral:rRNA from 1 species